GACGUAGGGCGCGAGCGUUGUCCGGAUUUAUUGGGCGUAAAGAGCUCGUAGGCGGCUCGUUGCGUCGGCUGUGAAAACCCGCAGCUCAACUGUGGGCUUGCAGCUGAUACGGGCGGGCUGGAGUUCGGUAGGGGAGACUGGAAUUCCUGGUGUAGCGGUGAAAUGCGCAGAUAUCAGGAGGAACACCCGUGGCGAAAGCGGCUCUCUGGGACGGUACUGACGCUGAGACGCGAAAGCGUGGGGAGCAAACAGG
rnacentral:rRNA from 1 species